rnacentral:rRNA from 1 species
GUCGAACGAUGAACCACUUCGGUGGGGAUUAGUGGCGAACGGGUGAGUAACACGUGGGCAAUCUGCCCUGCACUCUGGGACAAGCCCUGGAAACGGGGUCUAAUACCGGAUACUGAUCAUCUUGGGCAUCCAAGGUGUUCGAAAGCUCCGGCGGUGCAGGAUGAGCCCGCGGCCUAUCAGCUUGUUGGUGAGGUAGUGGCUCACCAAGGCGACGACGGGUAGCCGGCCUGAGAGGGCGACCGGCCACACUGGGACUGAGACACGGCCCAGACUCCUACGGGAGGCAGCAGUGGGGAAUAUUGCACAAUGGGCGAAAGCCUGAUGCAGCGACGCCGCGUGAGGGAUGACGGCCUUCGGGUUGUAAACCUCUUUCAGCAGGGAAGAAGCGAAAGUGACGGUACCUGCAGAAGAAGCGCCGGCUAACUACGUG